CCCUAGCCCAGAUAGAGCCGAUAUCCUCAUGACGUGCAACGGAAUGAGAUAAAGGCGAAAGCUGGAAAUAGC
rnacentral:misc_RNA from 1 species